AUUGAACGCUGGCGGCAGGCCUAACACAUGCAAGUCGAACGGUAACAGAAAGCAGCUUGCUGCUUUGCUGACGAGUGGCGGACGGGUGAGUAAUGUCUGGGAAACUGCCUGAUGGAGGGGGAUAACUACUGGAAACGGUAGCUAAUACCGCAUAACGUCGCAAGACCAAAGAGGGGGACCUUCGGGCCUCUUGCCAUCGGAUGUGCCCAGUUGGGAUUAGCUAGUAGGUGGGGUAACGGCUCACCUAGGCGACGAUCCCUAGCUGGUCUGAGAGGAUGACCAGCCACACUGGAACUGAGACACGGUCCAGACUCCUACGGGAGGCAGCAGUGGGGAAUAUUGCACAAUGGGCGCAAGCCUGAUGCAGCCAUGCCGCGUGUAUGAAGAAGGCCUUCGGGUUGUAAAGUACUUUCAGCGGGGAGGAAGGGAGUAAAGUUAAUACCUUUGCUCAUUGACGUUACCCGCAGAAGAAGCACCGGCUAACUCCGUG
rnacentral:rRNA from 1 species